UUUUGCUUUACACGAGUCAUUGAAGUUCUAAGAUAACCACUGACUAGAAUGAUAAAACUUACAAAGUCGUUAUGAUGGAGUUCAGUGCCUCGAGAAGUGACGUGAACAGCAAAUAGAAAUGCAACGUCAAAGUAUUGCAAGAUACCGGCAGAAUGGUCAAAAAGACGAUUUUGACACCUCCUUAAUACAAGAGAAAGGGACACAGGAUCAAAAAGUAGAAGUUUGGACAGAGGUCACCACAUGGCCUUAGGCAUUGAGUGAUCAAAGUGGUCAAAAAACAAAAAGACAUUCACAGAAAACUGUUCCUAGAUCUACAUUCAUCUCAAAUAUUUCAAGAAGAGAUUAGCCUGAAUAGAACAUUCUGUAAUGAACAAGUUUUAGAAGCAAUGGCCAACAGGACAGUUUUGACACCUCUUCGAUGUAAGAUUUUGGAACAGACACUAGAGAGGAACACAAGAUCAAAUAGAAGACAUUGGGAAGCCGGUAUAUUAUAAAGCAAGGGAUAUUGACAGACGCGCUCGUGUACACUGGUACAGACUCCUCUGCUGUGGAGAUU
rnacentral:sRNA from 1 species